rfam:Cellulophaga phage phi38:1, complete genome.
AGAGAGGUGUCUGAGUGGCUUAAGGUACUACUUUGCUAAAGUAGUGGGGUUAACGCCUCCGAGGGUUCGAAUCCCUUCUUCUCUA